rnacentral:lncRNA from 1 species
AAAAUUAUGAUUAUAAUAUGUGAUUAUAUGGCAUGAUAAAUCUUGAAAAUUUUCCAUUUACAUGUGAAUUAAUUUUAUUGCAACAAGAACAUUCUGUUUAUACUGCCUUGCUUGGAUGAUUGCUGAAAAUUUCCUCUCUUUUCGAUUUUCUGCUAAAUAUGGUUCCUUUAUUAUGAAAUGAUUUAAUAACCCAGGGUUGAUGGAAGGAUUUUAAUAAGAACUUGAACUAGGUUGCAUUGUUUUCAAACUUAAGUGCAUCAUGAUUUUUAAAUCAUUCCUUGUAAUUGCUUGUUCCCUUUCUAUGUUCACUCACUGAGUUUAUACUCACGUUUUCAACUUCAUGUUUUCAGAUUCAAGGGUGGUUGAGAUGCAGAUUGAGGUGUCCACGUACUCCCAUCUUUUAGGCAAGUACUUUGACAUUUAGUAGUCAUAUCUCCCAUCCAGAGUCACUCCGCUGAUGGUCAUAUUCUAAUUACGUGUAUAUGACUAUUUGUUGUGAAAUGCUGAGAUUCACUUGUCAAAUUAUAUGUAUGUAUAUAAUGGUUGAUGAUGUCAUUAUGAAUACAUGAUUGGGUUUUAUGAGUUGUUUUCUGAGGAAUUGUAAUUGAGCAUUAUGAAUUUUGGAUUCUAAAGGAAUAUGGAUUAACGUAUAAGAUCAUGUAAGUAGACUUGCUUGAGCUUGGUAGGCUGAGCUCAUUGAUCCCUUGCAUCGGUCAUGGCUCGAAAAUUUGCUUGUGAGAGUCCUGCAUGCCAUUGCUGCCAAGAAACGAGUCAGCGUACAGGAUUCCUUUGUUUAAGAUGCAUGCAUGACAGCUUGUGAAGGCAGUGCUCUGUCGUUUGCUAAAGAUGUUAUAGCAUUAAGCAAGAAUGAGGACUACCUGUCCGAAGCUCGACUGAGUGUAUCAAAGUAGAAAGGGAAAGACCAAAACGAAUUCAAAGGAAGCAGGCCAGCUAGCUAAAGUCCAUUUCAGCUAUCUUUUGUCACAUUGCUGAAGAUGUUCGUUUUAAGUCACCAUGAUCUUAGUUAGGAAUAUAGCUGGGGAAGAGAUGAUGGGAAGACGCUAGCUCGUAAGCAUCAAAAGCAUGCCCUUGAGAUUGAUGACUGCGCCACAUGAACAGAGGCGCACCCACUUUUCUUGCAACAAUUGAAUUACUGCGAUCAUAUUCAUGUCUGUUAACUGUUCUUUAUAUCUACUUUCAUGGCAAGAAAGGAUACGUUUUAAUCAAUAUUGUUCGGUUUGCAUGUAUACUUUUAUGUAAAGAAAAAGAAAUUUUCUUAGCAGAGAGAAGAGAAAGAGCACAUCAGCAUUAGUAACACCCAGUCCCAAGAUCAAAAGACAAAACUACAUCCAUUUUCUACAUAGAGCAAGAUGAGAAAUAUUGGAUUCACGAGAAAUGUUAAAGAAACAGAGCCCAGACAUAGUUUAGAAAGAGAAGAUCCAGCUUGUUGAAACUGAGAUCACUAUGGUUACUUUCAAGUCCACUUGGUGAGAGGAGAGAAAUCCCAAUGGAUCCAGACUGUUAUUGAUCCUUGAGUACACAAGCUAGCUAUUCU